UAAAAUUUCCCGUGUUUCAAAAAUAUAUAUUGGUGUUUCUUUUCAAAAAAAAAUUUUCGUGUUUUCAAAAAUUCCCUUGUUUGAAAAAUGUUCGUGUUUUCGUGUUUUCAAAAAAAUAAUUUCUCGUGUUUCAAAAAAAAAACUUUCGCGAAUAUUUUUUGAUGUUAUCGUGUUUUCAAAAAAAAUCCCAUGUUCGACAAAUUUUC
rnacentral:lncRNA from 1 species